CAAAAUGGAAAAGUUCAUAGCAAUGUUUAGCUUUAUUUGAACUAAGAGAGAAUUUUGAUUUUCUGUGUUUUGCAUAAUGGCAAAUAUCACAUACAGCAUGAUCAUCAACAUUAACAAAAGGAAACUGUUUAUGCAUUUCUAUCAAUCUACUGUUGGACAAAUGUCCCAAUCUAAAAUGCCAUAAGGCUUCUUUAGGGAUAACAUGAGAAGUAGUGAGUUGAGAAGAGGCAAUGGUUGUGGACUUAGGCUGAACAUGGUCUUGAUUAAAGUAAUACAAUCCUCCAUUGAGCUUAGCCAAACCAGUCAUCUUUAAGUUCUUCUUUUCCUGUAUCAAACAUUCAUCAUUAUCAAA
rnacentral:lncRNA from 1 species